rnacentral:misc_RNA from 1 species
GAUUGUUUUGAUGUAUUCUUUGGU